GACGAACGCUGGCGGCGUGCUUAACACAUGCAAGUCGAACGGAAAGGCCCCAGCUUGCUGGGGUACUCGAGUGGCGAACGGGUGAGUAACACGCGGGUGAUCUGCCCUGCACUCUGGGAUAAGCCUGGGAAACUGGGUCUAAUACCGGAUAGGACCGUGCUAUAGUGUGUGCGGUGGAAAGUUUUUCGGUGCAGGAUGAGCCCGCGGCCUAUCAGCUUGUUGGUGGGGUAAUGGCCUACCAAGGCGGCGACGGGUAGCCGGCCUGAGAGGGUGUACGGCCACAUUGGGACUGAGACACGGCCCAGACUCCUACGGGAGGCAGCAGUGGGGAAUAUUGCACAAUGGGCGCAAGCCGGAUGCAGCGACGCCGCGUGGGGGAUGACGGCCUUCGGGUUGUAAACCCCUUUCGGCAGGGACGAAGCUUUUGUGACGGUACCAGCAUAAGAAGCACCGGCUAACUACGU
rnacentral:rRNA from 1 species